CUGAGGGUGACAGAAAGGUGGGAAACUGCCCAAGUCUGAGUUCUAGAGCCUCAGUUUCCAUGUUCUGCCAAUUCCUGGAUAUCUGAGUUAGGCCUCUUUGGGCCACAAGUAAUAGAAAUGGGGAACUUGAGACCAGGGGUUCGAGGGUAGCGCGGGAAGAGCCUCCCAAAGACUGAAGCAGGCACCAUAGAACCGACUUGGGGGUGGUCUGCUCCCCUCGCCUGCUCCCUGCACAUCUGCUACAUUUCUUCCUCACGCGGUACAGGCUCUGGUUUCUAAAUUUUCUUCUCUUUCGUUCAGCAGAUGCCGACUGGGGUCUGGCAAUUGCCAGAGAGGAAGCAUUUGGGGAGCUCAAAUUAGGGGAGCCAGCCUGUGGAGGGGAAGAGAACUCCCCCCAGAAGAGCCACGUCCGAUGGCAGAUCCUGCAAAAAGUAGUCCUGUGGCUUCCACAGUUACUCUAGGACCAGAAUCAGCUGCCUGAUACCUUGAACCCUGGACCAGAGCUGCCUGAACGUGACAUUCAAAUCAGGAAUAGCAUUGUUUGGAAGCACCCCAAGUGUUCUGCAGUAGAUGACUGCCGUGUAGCCCCAAGUUUCUGCUUUCAUCAGCAAUGGCGGUCUCCCUGUGUGUCUGUCUUCACGCAGCAGUCUUCUUAGAAGCACACGAGUCCGAUGGAUCGGGACCCACCUACUCCAGUAGGACCUCAUCUUAACUAACUACACCUGCAGUGACUCUGUUUCCCACAUAAGAUCACAUUCUGAGAAGGAAGGAAGGGAGCUGGUGGGUGGGCUGUGAGCUGUCCCAUGGAGAGACCCGUAUGGCAAGGAAGAGAGGGUGGCCCCCGGCCAAUAGCCCACAAAGAAUGGAAAUCUACCAGCCACCACUUCAGUGAUUUUGGAAGCUGAUCUACCUUCAGGUGAGCCUUGAGGUGACUGCAACCUUGUGAGAAACCCAGAGCCAGAGGACCCAGUUAAGAUAUUCCUUGGAUUCCUGACCCACAGAAACUUCAUGAUAAUAAAUGUUGUUUUAAGCCA